AUGCACAGGUUAAACAAGCAAAGAAAUAAGUGAUGUGUACGUGAUUUUGUAACAAAAAUGGUGAAAGAGCAGAGGCAGGGAAAACGAAGAUAAAAGCAGCUUGAAACGCACACCAGUGAAUUCACCCCAGCUCUGCUGGCCUCCCCCACUUCCUCUGAAAUGUUUCAGUCUCCUGUACUUGGGGACUCUGUCCAAAGCGACCGUGUCACAAGGAGGUUGCUGCAAAGGGAUGGCCACCUGCCACUGCUCUUUUCCUGAGCCAGCCAUGUGCCUAAAACUUCUCUGCUGCGUGGCCCUCUGUGUCUGGGGAGCAGGCUCUGUGGACGACGAGGUCACCCAGAGUCCCAGACACCUGGUCAAAGGAAAAGGCGGGGACGUGACCCUGACGUGUAAACAGAACCUGAGGUACAACGCCAUGUACUGGUACCGGCAGGACCCAGCACAAGGCCUGAGGCUGAUUUAUUACUCAACGGUGGAGAAAGAUGUGCAGAAAGGAGACGUAAGUGAAGGCUACAGCGCCUCCCGAGAGCAGAAGGGGCUGUUUCCUCUCACUGUGCGCUUGGCCCACGCCAACCACACGGGCCUGUACCUGUGUUCUGGUGCUGCACCACAGCGGGGCGCAGCCACCGCCCGCCUGUGUGCAAACCACAGGCCGCCUGCAGCCCCGCUACAGCCUCUGCUGUAA